ACUUUGGGCUGAACGGAUAAUAAAUAGUUAAUAAGUCUAAUCUAUGUAUCCCGGCCAGUUCGACAAUUCCUGUUUACGCAGCUAUGGACAACCUGAAAACAGCCCGAAAACAACUCUUUAGACAAGCCAAUAUAUCGGAACAUUCCACGCCAGAAAGAUUCCAAAAGCUGUCCUUUCCAUGAUGACAUCGCCUACAAUCUGGCUCUAUUACAUUGAAGCUUUGCUGCAAUAUCUUUCCACUUGGAGAUUUGGGUAUCUCAUCGACAAAGACCACUCCACCGGUUAGACACUUAUGUUUGGA
rnacentral:sRNA from 2 species